CCUCCGUGCCUACCGCCGUCCUCCGGGCCGGCGCCGCCCUCACCCUCCUCUUCUCGGCCGUCUGAAAGCAUCCCGUUGCUCGUCUCUACCUCAUGCCUUCAUCGAUCUCUGUCUUCAUGGUGGCACAGAAGCUUCUGCGGUUCUGCCUGAAGCUAGCCGUGAACCAACAGCUGAUUGAUUGAAGCAGGUUGGAUUGUAAAACAAGUGGGAAUGGCCUGGACUGCAGUUCAAUCAAUCAGCAGGUUCGUGUAUUUGUCCUUUUUCGAGUGCAUGGACUGGACUCUCCGUGAAGCUCUAGCAGUCAUGCCGCUGGGCAUUGCCGGCCUCAACCUCCAUUUCUUUUAGCUUGCUCGUAGUCUCGUAGACAUCAUUUUCACCCAGAUCCGCCGUAGCAGACCGGCCGGCUCUAGUUUUUGAAGCCGGAACUAGCUAGUUUCCGACGUACGGACCGACCAGUGGAGGAGCGGCUCAAACGCCGGUUCUGCGACCUCUGCUCUGCGCCGUGCCCAAUCCCGUCGUGUCCAGGAUGGACAAGGCGUCUCUUCUCGCCGACGCCGUCUCGUACAUCUCCCAGCUUGGAAUCUGACUUCUUUGAGGAGGAUGGACAAGGCGUCUCUUCUCGCCGACGUCGUCUCGUACAUCUCCCAGCUUGAUCCCUUAUGCCCAGACCUCUGGCUUUGCAUAUUUGAGGCCAAACUUUCACGUAGAGAGGUAGAAAGCCCAAGGUGAUACUCCUAAAUCUGCCUUUUGGACUUCUAUCCUUAAAGUCAAAGUUAAACUUACUGAAAAUUGCACUAUCCAAAUUGCUAAUGGUAACAACAGCAUUUGGAAUAGUCCUUGGGUUCCUUUUUGGGAUAACAUUCAUGGUCAUCUUAAUAUCCGGCAUCAAAAUUUCAUCUAGCCCAAUACUAUUUUGGAAUGAUCUUAUGCUCCCCUUAUUUCUACUCUUUCUGGUCAGCAUAAUUGUUGAUCAAAUUAUGAAUAUUCCUAUUACUCUAGCUGAUCAAGCAUAUAUAGUGAUUUGGAAGCACUCUGCAAAUGGGGAAUGUACCUCAAAAAGCGCCUUCAAGACCUUAACUUCUCACCGUAUAUCCAAAGCAAUCCUGUUGUUAAUGUCUGUUUUGCAGGAACUGACAACAGUUUAACUAUGGCAACGUGGAAAAGUAAGCUUCUGCCUCCUCAGGUUCAAACAUUUACUUGGUGACAUCUGCAAAAUGCGCUGGCCACUGAAUAAAGAGGUUCUAAUAUAUCAAGGCACAUCGAGAAAUUUUGCAAAAGAUGUGGUCAAGUGGAGAAUGAUCUCCAUCUUUUUUUCACCUGUGGUUAUGCAAAAGUUGUGUGAUUUGGUACUUUUUUAGGUAUACAUAUUGAUGGACUCUUGGAGCAAAACAUGGCCACGCACGAUGCCGGAUAUAAUUCAAGCUAUCUUGCUGGAGUUCAUUCUUGCAAUCCUUUGGAUGCUAUGGAAAUCUAGAAACAACCUUCUAUUCAAUUAUAAAGAACAAAAUCCUUUGCAGGUCAUUCAUGGGGCUAAUGCGAUUCUUCAAACCAAAGAUAAAAACAACCAAGUGGAAACAACUCAAGACUUGGAUCAAAGCGCACUACAAAUCUAUUACUCCGUAGUACUAUUUGAGAGUGAACGGAUCAAGCAAGGUCCAAAAAAAAACUUGUGCAUGCUGGACUAAGAGUCUUCAUCGUCUUCAAGUUUGAGCUUGCUAGCAUUGUUGCUACGAGACUACAGUUUCCUCACUGCUCUAAUUUUUAACAGAUAAUGUGACAGUUGCUUUGAUUUAGUUUAA